AUGAAAACGAGGCUCCUCUGCUUGCUCGCUCUGCUGUUGCUAUGGACGGCAAUGGUGCGAGCAUCCGCUGGCGUGCAAGGAAGCCAGGCCGGGAACAGGAGUGCUCUUCCCUCCCUGGCCGGCUGCCAGAAGAACUGUGGCAACCUGAGUUUCGACUACCCGUUCGGCAUAGGGGCAGGCUGCUUCCGGCUGCCGCAGCGAGACUUUGAGCUCAUCUGCAACAACACCCACGGUGCCUCACAGCAGCCCAGACUCUUCCUGCACGACGGCAUCACCGAGGUUGUCAAUGACAUCAGACCCGGCGACACAUCAGGUAUUGAUGUAUCGUUUUCCCAAUCCGUCUCCGUGAGACCUGAGGUGGAUGCAUACAACAUCUCCUGGAACCCUGGGAGAUCUCUCAGUAUCGAUGGCGUAUUACUAAACUUCACUGGUUGCGACUUCAACAUGUAUGUGCUCCAGCACGACAUAAACAAGAUGGUGGGUCAGUGCAGUUCUACAUGCCCUGACGAAGAUAUCACAGAUACAAUGGCCAGGCAGGACUGCAACGGUACAGGAUGUUGCACUGCCGUAGGUUACUCUGAGUUUGGUGUCGGCUUGGACAUCAAGUUUGUCCGCCACAAGAUUGGAAAGCGGAAGUUCCAAGCGCAGAGUAACCGAAGCUCCAUAUGGGAUACAAUUAAUGUAGUAACCUCUCAUCAAGCGUAUAUUAGCUGGGCGAUCGCCGUUGAUGAACCUGGCACAGAUUAUGCAUGUCUCAGCAACCAUAGCAGUGGGCGAUUCGAUUCAUCUAACGUCACUUAUGUUUGUUACUGUGACCGUGGUUACCGAGGCAAUCCAUACAUAACCAAUGGCUGCUCCCGUGACAAAGGGUACCAUCCGAUACAACGGAAGACCAACUGCUCUAGAUGGUGUGGAGAAAUCAGUGUCCCUUUCCCAUUUGGCCUAGAGGAUGGUUGUUCUGCAAGGAUGUCAUUUCAGCUCAAUUGUACAAAUUCUUCUUUGUCUACCCUCCAGUUUCUUGACGGGUUCGAUGAUACAGAAUACUCCAGCAAUUAUGUACAGUAUAUAAAUAUCUCAGGGGGGCUAGUGAAUGUUAAAUACAACAUAUAUGAAGCAGAGAGCCUUUCGGUGCAUGUAUUUCAAGAUCCAGGCCUCUAUGUUGCCUCCGGGGGUGUGGUACUACAGCAGUGGGCCGUAGCCAAUUUAACGUGCCACGAGGCACAGCAGAAUAAGUCCGGAUAUGCAUGUGUCAGCAUGAAUAGCAUAUGCUUGAGUGUCAACUCCGAACAAGAAUAUAUCGGUUACCGUUGCAAAUGUUCGGCCGGCUUUGACGGGAAUCCAUAUAUCGCAGAUGACUGCAACGAUGUUGACGAGUGCAAGACACCAGGCACAUGUUAUGGGAUCUGUCAUAACACUGAAGGAGGUCACUAUUGCACGGAAUGUCCUAGUGAUACAGUGUAUGAUACUACAAUAAAGAUGUGCACAUCAGCCAAAAAACAAAAUCUGGUACUAGGUAUCGCCAUUGGGAUCAGCGUUGGUUUUGGAAUUCUACUUCUCAUAUCAAUUAUAAUAUUGUUCGUUCGUAGAUGUAAAAAAGGCAUCAAGAAGAAACUACGAAGAAAGCAUUUUCGGCAGAACCAAGGUCUACUCCUCGAACAAUUGGUAUCAUCAGAUGAAAAUGCAAGUGACAACACUAAGAUUUUCUCACUAUCAGAGUUAGAGAAGGCAACCAAUAACUUCGAUCCAACACGUAUCGUUGGCCGUGGAGGGCAUGGCAUGGUUUAUAAAGGCAUCUUAUCCGACCAACGGGUAGUGGCCAUAAAGAAAUAUAAAGUCAUUGAGCAAGUUGAGAUAAGCCAGUUUAUCAAUGAGGUUGCUGUCCUCUCCCAGGUAAAUCACCGGAAUAUCGUGAAGCUCUUUGGUUGUUGUCUUGAGACCGAAGUCCCACUGCUAGUGUAUGACUUCAUCCCUAAUGGUUCAUUAUUUGGAAUCCUUCACGCCACUACCACUAGCGGCCUUGUCUUGUCCUGGGAUAAUUGUUUGAAAAUUGCUGCAGAAGCUGCUGGAGCACUCUAUUACCUCCACUCAGCUGCUUCAGUAUCGAUAUUUCAUCGUGAUGUGAAGUCCACUAACAUACUCUUAGAUGGAAAUUACACUGCAAAGGUAUCAGAUUUUGGCGCUUCAAGGUUGGUUCCUAUUGACCAAACUCAUGUCAUUACAAAUAUACAAGGCACAUUUGGAUACUUGGAUCCGGAAUAUUACCACACUGGUAUGUUGAAUGAGAAGAGUGAUGUCUAUAGUUUUGGUGUAGUACUUGUAGAGUUGCUGCUCAGGAAGAAGCCUAUUUUUACAAGUGACUCUGGGCUAACGCAAAACUUGUCCAACUACUUCUUGUGGGAGAUGAGGGAGAAACCACUUGCAGAAAUAGUAGCUACACAAGUUCUUGAGGAAGCAACAAAUGAAGAGAUUAAUGAUGUCGCCAAUCUUGCGCAGACUUGCUUGCAACUACGAGGUGAAGAGGGACCUACAAUGAAAGAAGUGGAGAUGAAACUACAGUAUGUGCGAUCUAAAAGGUUGAGAUCAUGUCAGGUUGUUGUAAGAAAUGAAGACAUGCAACCCUUGUUAAGUGGACAAAGCCAAGACACUCUUCCAAUGUUGACUACUCCGAGUGGUAUAGCAGACAGUGUUAAUAUAGCUUCUCAAAGGAACCAAAAUUGCUACAGCUUGGAGCAAGAGUUAAUGGCAUCGGCGACUCUUCCACGCUAG
rnacentral:rRNA from 1 species